rnacentral:rRNA from 1 species
GAUGAACGCUGGCGGUCUGCUUAACACAUGCAAGUCGAACGAACUCUUCGGAGUGAGUGGCGGACGGGUGAGUAACGCGUGAGAAUCUGCCUGUGGGUCGGGGACAAACCACUGGAAACGGUGGCUAAUACCGGAUGAGCCGAAAAGGUAAAAAGAUUUAUUGCCCACAGAUGAGCUCGCGUCUGAUUAGCUAGUUGGUAAGGUAAAAAGCGUACCAAGGCGACGAUCAGUUAGCUGGUCUGAGAGGAUGAGCAGCCACACUGGGACUGAGACACGGCCCCAGACUCCUACGGGAGGCAGCAGUGGGGAAUUUUCCGCAAUGGGCGAAAGCCUGACGGAGCAAGACCGCGUGGGGGAGAAGGUUUUUGAUCGUAAACCCCUUGUC